CUCUUGCUUGCGGCGACCGCAGCGCGCAUGCAGCGCCGGCGGUCGCCGCCGCCCCGCUCUCCUCUCACUCCCUCUAUGUCGCUCUGCUGUCUCUCCUGUCCAUCUCUCUCUCCUUGUGUCUCAGUCUCUUUCCCUCUCCCUCGCUCAAACUCUCUCUCUCUCUCUCUGCUACUGGCGGCCACCGCGGACCGCCGUGGCGUGGGCAGCGCUGGCGGUCGCUGCCGCCAGUCGCGCCUCCGCCGCGGUGGUUCGCGGUUGCUGUUGCUGCUGCCAUCCCUUCCCCUGUUCUAAUUCUUUUCCUUCUUCUUUUCUCUUUUUCCUUAUUUCUAUUGUAAUACCUUAACUUAACUCUCGUGUUUGAUAGCUUGUAAUAUGGCAUUAUUUCUAUUGUAAUACCUUAACUUAACUCUCGUGUUUGAUAGCUUGUAAUAUGGCAAGAUAGCAAAGGUAUAUAAUCCGUGUGUUUGGUACUCUUAAUACGUAUGCCACGAAGCCCGCGAAAAGGUGAGGCCCGGUCAUAUUUCACUGUUCCUUCGGUAAUACCCAUCCGCUCCCCCCCCUCCGAUACCUUUGCUACUUUAAUUUGAUAUUGAAAAUUGCCUUAAAUGCCCAUCGAUUUUUCAUUGAAAAUUCACCCAAGAAAGUUGAUUUUUCAUUCUUUCCAAGAAACAAAGAAGGGAUCGACUGGAACAGAAAAACGAUCCAACAUUCUUCCCAAAAUUCACCCAAGGAAAUUGAUUUUUCAUUCAACAUUCGUCGACCAUUCCAGCCUUCGACGACUAGCUACUGCCGCCCAGCCAUCGACGACCAGCUACCGCCGUCGCCGCAAUAAACCUCCAUCCCCCAACAAGAAAAACGCCACGGCCCACGAAGAAAUCGAGAGCCUCCAUUGACGACUAAAAAUUAAUUCUUGGGCGGUGGGUGGAAGGAAGGGAGGACGGCGACAAGGGAGGGGGAAGGGGAGGAUGGUGGCG
rnacentral:lncRNA from 1 species